UGCAUAUACAUCCACGUGCUUACUUCUUGAUAACUAUGUUUAGAAUCAAGUUCUUCCACCGCGAUUGCAACGGUUUUGAUAUAGCGGCUUCCACCGCGUAAAAUAUGAACGCCCCUGAUUGUUCGCGUGAUGAACUCGAGAGAAUCCGAAAUGAUAUGUGUUGGGCUUCUAUAGGUUCAGAAUUUAAAACCAAAUGGACGGGGG
rnacentral:lncRNA from 1 species